rnacentral:rRNA from 1 species
GAUGAACGCUGGCGGCUUGCCUAAUACAUUCAAGUCGAGCGAACAGAUGAGUGGCUUGCUUCUCUGACUUUAGCGGCGGACGGGGGAUUAACACGUUUAUUACCUACCUAUUGUACUUUGUUAACUUCGCGAAUCCUGAGCUAGUACCUUAUAAUAUAUUCAUCCUCAUGGGUCUAUAGUGAUAGACGGUCUUGCUGUCACUUAUUUAUGGAUCCGCGCAGCAUAGGCUAGUUGGUAAGGUAACGGCUUACUAAGGCGACGAUGCGUAGCCGACCCGAGAGGGUGAGCGGCCAAACUGGAACUGAGACCCGGUCCAGACUCCUACGGGAGGCAGCAGUAGGGAAUCUUCCGCAAUGGGCGAAGGCAUGACGGAGCAACGCCGCGUGAGUGAUGAAGGUCUUCGGAUCGUAAAACUCUGUUAUUAGGGAAGAACAAAUGUGUAAGUAACUAUGCACGUCUUGACGGUACCUAAUCAGAAAGCCACGGCUAACUACGUG